rnacentral:rRNA from 1 species
GACGAACGCUGGCGGCGUGCCUAAGACAUGCAAGUCGAGCGGGGCUUCGGGGCUUCGGCCCUGAAGCCUAGCGGCGGACGGGUGAGUAACACGUGGAUAACCUGCCCUCUGCUCUGGGAUAACAGGCCGAAAGGCCUGCUAAUACCGGAUAAGCUCACGGUCCCGCAUGGGGCUGGGAGAAAAGGCGCUGGAGUCAGUGGCGCUGGCAGAGGAGGGGUCCGCGGCCCAUUAGCUGGUUGGCGGGGUAACGGCCCACCAAGGCGACGAUGGGUAGCCGGCCUGAGAGGGCGACCGGCCACACUGGGACUGAGACACGGCCCAGACUCCUACGGGAGGCAGCAGUCGGGAAUUUUGCACAAUGGGCGAAAGCCUGAUGCAGCAACGCCGCGUGAGCGAAGAAGGCCUUCGGGUUGUAAAGCUCUGUUGCCUGCGAAGAAGGGCCCCGUCAGGAAAUGGGCGGGGUUUGACGGUAGCAGGCGAGGAAGCCCCGGCAAACUACGUGCCAGCAGCCGCGGUAAUACGUAGGGGGCGAGCGUUGUCCGGAAUUACUGGGCGUAAAGGGCGUGUAGGCGGCCUGUUAAGUCAGGGGUGAAAGACCGGGGCUCAACCCCGGGGGUGCCUCUGAAACUGGCGGGCUUGAGUGCUCUAGAGGGCAGUGGAAUUCCCGGUGUAGCAGUGAAAUGCGUAGAGAUCGGGAGGAACACCAGUGGCGAAGGCGGCUGCCUGGGGAGUCACUGACGCUGAGGCGCGAAAGCUAGGGGAGCAAACAGGAUUAGAUACCCUGGUAGUCCUAGCCGUAAACGAUGAGUGCUAUGUGUGAGGGGUAUCGACCCCCCUCGUGCAGGAGCUAACGCACUAAGCACUCCGCCUGGGGAGUACGGCCGCAAGGUUGA